CCUACGGGAGGCAGCAGUAGGGAAUAUUGGGCAAUGGACGCAAGUCUGACCCGGCCAUGCCGCGUGCAGGAUGAAUCACCUCUGGUGUGUAAACUGCUUUUUUACGGGAAGAAACCCCUGGAUGCGUCCGGGGCUGACGGUACCGUACGAAUAAGGAUCGGCUAACUUCGUGCCAGCAGCCGCGGUAAGACGAAGGAUCCAAGCGUUGCCCGGAUUUACUGGGUUUAAAGGGUGCGUAGGCGGAACUCUAAGUCAGUGGUGAAAGCCUCCCGCUUAACGGGAGAACUGCCAUUGAAACUGGUUUUCUUGAAUACAGUGGAGGUAGAUGGAAUAUAACAUGUAGCGGUGAAAUGCUUAGAUAUGUUAUAGAACACCAAUUGCGAAGGCAGUCUGCUACACUGUGAUUGACGCUGAGGCACGAAAGCGUGGGGAGCAAACAGGAUUAGAUACCCUGGUAGUCCACGCCCUAAACGUUGAUUACUCGCUGUUGGCGAUACACUGUCAGCGGCUAAGCGAAAGCGUUAAGUAAUCCACCUGGGAAGUACGACCGCAAGGUUGAAACUCAAAUGAAUUGACGG
rnacentral:rRNA from 1 species